UCAACCAUCAAGCCUAGCUUGUCGUUGGACCCCUUUGCAGCUGAAAUAUGCGGCAGGUCCGAAAGAUAAUGACGGCGUCGUGUUUGACCCUAGAUGCAACGAGCUUUUCAUAGCACGCAUUGAAGUGGUCGACCGGUCUGGUCUUAAUCAUUAAUUUCUAA
rnacentral:misc_RNA from 1 species